CCUACGGGAGGCAGCAGUGGGGGAUAUUGCACAAUGGGGGAGACCCUGAUGCAGCGACGCCGCGUGUGGGAAGACGGUCCUCUGGAUUGUAAACCACUGUCCCCAGGGACGAAGAUGACGUUACCUGGGGAGGCCGCUCCGGCUAACUACGUGCCAGCAGCCGCGGUCAUACGUAGGGAGCGAGCGUUGUCCGGAAUUACUGGGUGUACAGGGAGCGUAGGCGGGACUGCAAGUUGGGUGUCAAAUCUACCGGCUCAACCGGUAGCCGCACUCAAAACUGCAGUUCUUGAGUGAAGUAGAGGCAGGCGGAAUUCCUAGUGUAGCGGUGAAAGGCGUAGAUAUUAGGAGGAACACCAGUGGCGAAGGCGGCCUGCUGGGCUUUGACUGACGCUGAGGCUCGAAAGUGUGGGGAGCAAACAGGAUUAGAUACCCUAGUAGUC
rnacentral:rRNA from 1 species